rnacentral:lncRNA from 10 species
CACUAUCACCUCCAGAGAGAUCCAGACCACCCGAGCCUGAUGCUGUCUGGGGAUAUCCACAAACACGCUGUAUUGAAAACCAAAGGUAAGAACCAUGUUCCAGUAACAUUGAAUCUACUUUAGUUCUUGAAGUGUGAUGUCCUGCUAAUUUUAAAACAUUUUUUUUACAACAAACUAGAUAUUAUCAAUUUUAGUUUAAUGUAUCUAUGGUCCAAUUUGUUUAAAAAAUAAAAUAGUGGGUUAUACUUAAUAAUGUUGCAUUAUACCACUUUACUAACGAAUCAGUUCUUUUAGUUAUUUUUGUAGGUAAGCCAUUCACGGGACCUGUAAGAUGUUAUCUAUAUUUUUCAUUCUCAUUCCCUCACAAAUAUAUGCUGAAAUUUUCCAGAGAUACCUU